rnacentral:rRNA from 1 species
CCAAUAGCGUAUAUUAAAGUUGUUGCAGUUAAAAAGCUCGUAGUUGAAUUUCGGGAUCAAAUUGUCGGUCGUGCCUCGGUACGUACUGGCGUUAUUGGUUCCUCCCUUCUGAAGAACCGCGAUGUCAUUAAUUUGGUGUCGCGGGGAAUCAGGACUGUUACUUUGAAAAAAUUAGAGUGUUUAAAGCAGGCUCGCGCUUGAAUACAUUAUCAUGGAAUAAUGAAAUAGGACGUUUGAUUCUAUUUUGUUGGUUUCUAGGAUCGACGUAAUGAUUAAUAGGGAUAGUUGGGGGCAUUAGUAUUCAAUGGUCAGAGGUGAAAUUUGUGGAUUUAUUGAAGACUAACUACUGCGAAAGCAUUUGCCAAGGAUGUGUUCAUUAAUCAAGAACGAAAGUUAGGGGAUCGAAGACGAUCAGAUACCGUCGUAGUCUUAACCAUAAACUAUGCCGACUAGGGAUCGGAUGAUGUUAAUUUUUUAAUGACUCAUUCGGCGCCUUACG